rnacentral:rRNA from 1 species
GAUGAACGCUGGCGGCGUGCCUAAUACAUGCAAGUCGAGCGAACUGAUUAGAAGCUUGCUUCUAUGACGUUAGCGGCGGACGGGUGAGUAACACGUGGGCAACCUGCCUGUAAGACUGGGAUAACUUCGGGAAACCGAAGCUAAUACCGGAUAGGAUCUUCUCCUUCAUGGGAGAUGAUUGAAAGAUGGUUUCGGCUAUCACUUACAGAUGGGCCCGCGGUGCAUUAGCUAGUUGGUGAGGUAACGGCUCACCAAGGCAACGAUGCAUAGCCGACCUGAGAGGGUGAUCGGCCACACUGGGACUGAGACACGGCCCAGACUCCUACGGGAGGCAGCAGUAGGGAAUCUUCCGCAAUGGACGAAAGUCUGACGGAGCAACGCCGCGUGAGUGAUGAAGGCUUUCGGGUCGUAAAACUCUGUUGUUAGGGAAGAACAAGUACAAGAGUAACUGCUUGUACCUUGACGGACCUAA